rnacentral:rRNA from 1 species
GACGGAGGGCGCAAACGUUGUUCGGAAUCACUGGGCGUAAAGGGCGCGUAGGCGGGACUGUAAGUCCGAGGUGAAAGCCCGGGGCUCAACCCCGGGACUGCCUUGGAAACUGCAGUCCUCGAGUGCAGGAGAGGAAGGCGGAAUUCCAGGUGUAGCGGUGGAAUGCGUAGAUAUCAGGAGGAACACCAGCGGCGAAGGCGGCGCUCUGGGCCGGAACUGACGCUGAGGAGCGAAAGCGUGGGGAGCAAACAGG